GACAAACGCUGGCGGCAUGCCUAACACAUGCAAGUCGAACGGACAGAACAGGCAUGCUUUUCGGAGUGGAACGGGAAAGUUGGUGGCGGCUGGGGGGUUACCGCGUGGACAACCUACCUUGUAAAGGGGAAUAACCUCGAGAAAUCGAAGCUAAUACCCCAUAAUAACCUUGCUUCGCAUGAGGUAAGGCGGAAGGGCGUCCUUAGCGCUGUCGAUACAAGAUUGGUCGGCGUCUGAGUAGCUAGUUGGUGGGGUAAAGGCUCACCAAGGCGACGAUCAGUUGCCGGCGUGAGAGGGGGAACGGCCGCAUUGGGAGUGGGACACGGCCCAAACGCCUAAGGGAGGCAGCAGUGGGGAAUCGUCGGCAAUGGGGGAAAGCAUGACGGAGCAAUGCGGCGUGAGUGAAGAAGGCCUUCGGGUUGUAAAACUCUGUCCUUAUCGAAGAGAGAGUGUUGUAGGAACUGACAAUACUAGGACGGUAGAGGAGGAGGAAGCCCCGGCUAACUAUGUG
rnacentral:rRNA from 1 species